rnacentral:SRP_RNA from 1 species
ACAAUAAAGUAAACUAAACGACUCCGGAGGUUGAGGCUGGCGGAUUGCUUGAGCUCAGGAGUUCUGGGCUGCAGUGGGCUAGGCCGAUUGGGGGUCCGCACUAAGUUCGGCAUCAAUACGGUGAUCCCCAGGGAGCCGAGGGCCACCAGGGGUGAACCGGCCCAGGUUGGAGACGGAGCAGGUCAAAACUCCUGUGCCAAUCAGUAGUGGGAUAGUGCCUGUGAAUAGCUACUGCAGCGUAGCCUGAGCAAGACCCAGACUCU